CCCUUAGAUGUUCUGGGCCGCACGCGCGCUACACUGACGAAUGCAACGAGCUUAUAACCUUGGCCGAAAGGUCUGGGUAAUCUCCAAAUUUCGUCGUGAUGGGGAUAGAUUAUUGCAAUUAUUAAUCUUCAACGAGGAAUGCCUAGUAAGCGCAAGUCAUCAGCUUGCGUUGAUUACGUCCCUGCCCUUUGUACACACCGCCCGCCGCUCCUACCGAUUGAAUGGUCCGGUGAAGCGUUCGGACCGUGGCCUUUGGACGGUUCGCCGUCUGUUGGCUGCGGGAAGUUCGUUAAACCUUAUCAUUUAGAGGAAGGAGAAGUCGUANCA
rnacentral:rRNA from 1 species